UGGAGUCGGAGCAAGGCGGCGCCUUGGAGGAGUUCGUGAAGAGAGGGAUCGCGCUGGAGAGUUCGCAGCGAUCGAGCGCACAGAUGCUGCUUGGUUUUCAGCAAAAUCUCGGCCAUCGUUCGCGGAGAGCUCCGCGGUUUUGAAGGGGAUUUUUGCGAGGAAUAAGAGUGUGAGAUUGUCGAGAUACAUCGAAGCAGGCUGCCGGCAUCGCAGCA